rnacentral:lncRNA from 1 species
UAUAAUGACCUAUAUCCUUGUGUUUGAAUAGCUUGAUUGUUUGAACCUAUACCUCCUAGAAACACUUGAAUCACUAAAGAACAUACAAAAGUCAAAGUGUGGGUGGUAGGGAAGUAGCGAAAAAAGGGAAAUCAAGAAUGAAUUAUUUGAAUGGUGCACUGGCAGUGUAAAAGAAAAAAAACGUGACAAAGAAAACAAAAUAAAGAGAAUAAAAAGAGAAGCCAGUUGAACCUAAAGAAAAGUGGUGGUAACCUGUGAAAUAAAAAUGUGGAAGAAUGAUGGGGCUGCACAUGAAAGAGUAAAAUAAAAGGAAGUGUGAGUUAAAAGUGCUUAGGGAGGUUAGUCACUAUAUCCAAAUAUAUCAUACCCGUCCCUUAGCCUAUAUUACAACAAAAUAAAGACCUAUUGAUCUUUGACUGAACAGCUCGAUUAGUAGAGUAUUACACUAGGGGAAAGCUUAUAGUGUAUGUGUGGCAUGUGAAUGCUCUUUGCUAAGAGUGGGUGAAUUCUUUCUAUACAUGGUUCCUUAUUGUUUGAAUUUUUUGUGUGUGGAACUUAUCUCAGAACUAUGAUGUGAGGGCAUGUGACUCAGGAAGAAAAGGUAAGUCUUCACUUCUGUUAGAGUAACUAGAGUGAGCACGAGUGUGUCAUGGCAUGAGAAUUUGCAUCUGAGGUAUGAUUGUUGUAGUGCUUAGGUUGAUCCUUCAUAAUGGCAGGUGUGACACAAAUUGGGGUAAUGCAUCAACGGUUAGGCCUAGAAGUAUGGUUUAAUUUUCUCGAGGACGAGCAAAGGUUUAAGUGUGGGGUGUUGAUAAUAGGUGAAUUUAACUAUAAUCAGGCCCUAAAUAAUCACCUUCUUAUAUAGUUUUGAUGAUGAAAGAGAUAACAAAAUACUCUUAUUAGUGCUUUUCAUGCGUUGCAGGUUGUAUAUGACCAAAGAAGGAUA